rnacentral:rRNA from 1 species
AUCUCUGUAGAGUCUGCAUAUCAAUAAGCGGAGGAAAAGAAACUAACUAGGAUUCCCUCAGUAACGGCGAGUGAAGCGGGAAGAGCUCAAAUUUGAAAUCUUCAAGGUUCUACCUUGACGAAUUGUAGUUUAAAGAAGUGUUUUCUGUUGGAUGUUUUGGUAAAAGUUCUUUGGAAUAGGACAUCAUAGAGGGUGAGAAUCCCGUAUUUGACCAUUACUUCCAGCGUUGUGAUACACUUUCAAAGAGUCGGAUUGUUUGGGAAUGCAGUCCAAAAUGGGUGGUAAAUUUCAUCUAAAGCUAAAUAUUGGCGAGAGACCGAUAGCGAACAAGUACCGUGAGGGAAAGAUGAAAAGAACUUUGAAUAGAGAGUUAAACAGUACGUGAAAUUGUCAAAAGGGAAGCGUUUGACACCAGUGUUGUUUUUCUGAAAAUCAAUUAAAAAAGCUGGCUUAUGCUAUUGUUUAAGACCUUAUCAGCUACUGUAUUAUUUUUGAGCUUUUCUUUAAUGCACUUUUCAGUUAACAAGUCAACAUCAAUUUCUUUUGCUGUAAAAAAGCUUGAGGAAGGUGGCUUGAGAUUCGUCUUAAGUGUUUAUAGCCUCUUGCCUAUGCAGUCGGAGAGAUUGAGGUCUGCAGCGUAGAUCCUUCGGGGCUAGGUACAUUUGUGCUAAGUUAUAGCAUUUUAUAGACAACUUGUUGACUAUGAUUAGUCAUUGUAGCUUACUCGCUUAUGUUAUUUUACCUACGCUUAGGAUGUUGACGAUCAGCUGAGCGCG